rnacentral:rRNA from 1 species
UUGAACGCUUGCGGCAGGCCUAACACAUGCCAGUCGAACGGUAACAGGAAGCAGCUUGCUGCUUUGCUGACGAGUGGCGGACGGGUGAGUAAUGUCUGGGAAACUGCCCGAUGGAGGGGGAUAACUACUGGAAACGGUAGCUAAUACCGCAUAACGUCGCAAGACCAAAGAGGGGGACCUUAGGGCCUCUUGCCAUCGGAUGUGGCCAGAUGGGAUUAGCUAGUAGGUGGGGUAACGGCUCACCUAGGCGACGAUCCGUAGCUGGUCUGAGAGGAUGACCAGCCACACUGGAACUGAGACACGGUCCAGACUCCUACGGGAGGCAGCAGUGGGGAAUAUUGCACAAUGGGCGCAAGCCUGAUGCAGCCAUGCCGCGUGUAUGAAGAAGGCCUUCGGGUUGUAAAGCACUUUCGGCGGGGAGGAAGGGCGUAAAGUUAAUACCUUUCCUCAUUGACGUUACCCAAAGAAGAAGCACCGGCUAACUCCGUG